rnacentral:rRNA from 1 species
CCUACGGGAGGCUGCAGUGAGGAAUAUUGGUCAAUGGGCGCGAGCCUGAACCAGCCAAGUCGCGUGAGGGAUGACGGUCCUACGGAUUGUAAACUUCUUUUAUAUGGGAAUAAAAUGUUCCACGUGUGGGAUUUUGUAUGUACCAUAUGAAUAAGGAUCGGCUAACUCCGUGCCAGCAGCCGCGGUAAUACGGAGGAUCCGAGCGUUAUCCGGAUUUAUUGGGUUUAAAGGGAGCGUAGGUGGAUUGUUAAGUCAGUUGUGAAAGUUUGCGGCUCAACCGUAAAAUUGCAGUUGAAACUGGCAGUCUUGAGUACAGUAGAGGUGGGCGGAAUUCGUGGUGUAGCGGUGAAAUGCUUAGAUAUCACGAAGAACUCCGAUUGCGAAGGCAGCUCACUGGACUGCAACUGACACUGAGGCUCGAAAGUGUGGGUAUCAAACAGGAUUAGAUACCCGGGUAGUC